UUCAAGGGCAUGCUUGAAAACAGGAGCCUCUUGCUCCUCAAACCUUCCUUCUCUCCUUGCUUGGAAUUAGUGGCACUUUAACCGCAACUGUCUUGCCAGUCGACAUCUGAGCCUUGUAAACAGGACCAAAUGCCCCUUGCCCAAUCACUGAUGUAAAAUUAUGAGUUGCUUUUUGGAUUUCUCUGUUAGUGCAUCAUCAAAGAAAAGGUAAAAUAAGUUUAACAUAGUGAAUGACGACAUGUCUAACAUAGUAGAGAACUUAUUUAGGAUACAUCCAUGAUGAAAACAUAAAAUGAAC